rnacentral:antisense_RNA from 1 species
GCCGUAGGCUUCUUCACUGUGAAGCAAACACAAGUUUUUGACAGAAGAGAAGAACACAUACACUCAAGAUCUCGAUGCAAUUCUCACACGAAUAAGGUGGCUAAUUAAGUAGUGGGAGAGUCACCGGAAGAUUGUCGGAGAUUUGUCCAGCAGGUGACAUCUCCAUCUCAGCUUCUGCUCCUACAUGAUGAUUAUUCUCCAUCUGUACGAUAAUCAUAGGUCAAAAUCACUAUUCACUUUCUCUUUUUGUCUUCUAUCCAAGGAAUAUCUUUUUCACACCACCAAAUAACAACCA